UUUUUUGAGACAGGGUCUCUCACUGAACCUGGGGCUCACCAAUUCUGCUAGACUACCUGGCCAACCGGCUCCAUGGAUAGGUCUGUCUCUACCCACCUCCCCCCAUUUCUGACUUUCAGACGCUUGACGCCAGCCCAGCUUUUACACGGUGCUGGGAAUCUGAACUCAGUCCUUAUGGUUGUGGCCCAAGCGUUUUACCUACUAAGUUGUUCCCUCGGCCUCUCUUUGGGGAUUUUUGAGACUAGGUUCUAGCUAUGUAGUUCUGGCUGGCCUGGAAAUCACAGUAGACCAGGCUAGCCUCUAGCUUGCAACCAUCCUCCUGUCUCUUCCUCCCAAGUGCUGGGAUGACAAGUUUGUGCCAUCACAACACAACUAAGCAGUGAGGACUUGUCCUCCAGUAGCUAGCACCCUCCCCAGUGGGUUGAGAAUGGACGUAAGGAAGCCCAGGGCACAGCCGGGCAUGGGAGCCCAAUCUGGCGUCUCGCUUAAAAGCUGAAGCAGGGCAGUUGAGAGUUUGAAGUCAGCCUGGGUGGUCUACAUAGACCUAGGCCGGCUUGGCUUGUAUAGUGAGACCCCGCCUCAAGGAAUAACAACCAAAAAGGCCGAGGGAGUUUCUAAAGCAGCCAUGGCAGUUGUGUGGUUGACAAGGCAUCUCCCUGGCCAGAUGCAUUUCAUGACCUUUCCUGACCUCUACUCUGACCUCAGAGGAUCUGUCAUAGCCUCAGCCUUAGCAUGGCUGAGCCUCUCCAUUCUCUCCCUCUCUCUCUCUGCCUUGUGCUUGUGGAUGAGACGUGAGGUCUCAGCUACUGCCCCAGCACCAUGCCUGCCUACCUGCCAACUGCUGUGCCAUGAUAGCCCUGGGCCCUAAUCUUCCGGAACCGUAAGCCCCUAUAAACUCUCUCUUCUAUAGGUUGUCUUGGCCAUGGUGUGUCUUCACAGCAAUAGAAAAGUAACCAAGACACCUAGUAUGCACAAAGCCCUGGGUUCCAUCCCUGGCACCUCAUUAACUGAGUGUUAUUCAAGGUCAUCCUCAACUAUAUACUCUGAGAACGUUCUCUACCUCUCUAGAGAAGUGCCUAGGUGGAGCACCAGACUCAAAGCUGCAAACCUCAUCAUAUUGGUACAAGAAGCAUCCGAGACGCUGCAGCAGAUCAGAGCCUGGCAGUACCUGCAGGUAAUCCCAGCAUUUGAAAAGCGGAGACGUGAGCUCAGUGUCAUCCCUGGUUAUUCAGUGAGUUCAAGGCCAGUCUGGACUACAUGGAACUCUGUUUCUAAAAAAAGUAAUUUUUAAAACUAUUUUCAAAUCUAUGAUUCAUCAUCCUUUAAAUACACUCACAAGCUUGCACGUCAUUUCUACAAUCUAAUUCUAGAAGGCUCAGCCACAAAGAAAACCCCAUACCCAACAAGCACGCUCCCACCUCCUCUGUCCCAGCCCUGCCCCCACACUGAUGGGUUUUACUUGUGAUUCCUCAGGACGGGCUUCUCACUGGUCAUGUACUGUUCCCAGAGGCAUCCAUGAUGAGGUAUGUGCCCACUUCAUUCCCUUCCUCCUCAGCCAGUUUUGAGGGCCCUCAUUCUUCCAAGUGGCCUCAAGGUCCCCAAGGGCUUGUGAGGACAGUCAACCGCCAUCUCUUUAAGUCAGCCCAGCCACUGCUUCCAUGGCCACAGUCCUGCUGAGACUCUGCCUCUCCUACAUGUCACUGAGUCGUGGA